rnacentral:rRNA from 1 species
AGCGAACGCUGGCGGCAGGCCUAACACAUGCAAGUCGAGCGCCGUAGCAAUACGGAGCGGCAGACGGGAGAGUAACACGUGGGAACGUACCCUUCAGUACGGAACAACCAAGGGAAACUUUGGCUAAUACCGUAUACGUCCGUAAGGAGGAAGAUUUAUCGCUGAAGGAUCGGCCCGCGUCUGAUUAGCUAGUUGGUGAGGUAACGGCUCACCAAGGCGACGAUCAGUAGCUGGUCUGAGAGGAUGAUCAGCCUCACUGGGACUGAGACACGGCCCAGACUCCUACGGGAGGCAGCAGUGGGGAAUAUUGGACAAUGGGCGCAAGCCUGAUCCAGCCAUGCCGCGUGGGUGAUGAAGGCCCUAGGGUUGUAAAGCCCUUUCGGCGGGGAAGAUAAUGACGGUACCCGCAGAAGAAGCCCCGGCUAACUUCGUGCCAGCAGCCGCCGUAAAAC